GUGGCUCAGGAAAAGAAGAGGACUCUAUUGAAGGACUCAGAUUUAAUAGUGUAGCGUUACGUAUAACAACUCGACAGGACAAUUGUGCUUGUCAGGUUUACUUACAAAACCAGACUGAUACAUAUACAGUUUAUAUGCAGAAGAAUAAUAAAUUGACAUCAGCGGCACCGAAUAGCUCUGACUGUGGGCUAGUGAUAAAUGUUAGUGUAUAUGACGGAGUUGGUACAGAUAAAAUAUUGAAAACAGUUGAAUGUGCGAAUGGAACUUUGUUUCAACCGAUUUCUCUAGAAAUAAAUGGAACGCUCAAUUUUAAAUCAACGGUAAUUGAAGGAAUUUUUACAAGAGGAUACUGCUUGCAGAUUUUCAGAAAAAAUCCUAAUACAAGUCAUCCUUCUCUACAGAUUGCCUGCACGCAAGUAACGGCUAACAAAACAAAUUAUAGUCCAGUUAUGAAAGAAGAUACUAGUUCAACACAGUAUGUUGUCAUUGGAGCUUGCGCUGGUGGAUUUGUUUUUGUAAUAUCCAUCGCAGUUGUUGUUGUAAGUUGUAUUCGG